UUUUUUUUUACUAAAUGUAGUCUGAACAAGAUAAAUGGUUCCCGAGUGAAGUGACCUGGCUUCUAUGACGUUAAUGACAAAGAGAUACUCAUCUUGGACAACUCUUAGCAUGUAAUAUUAUAUCCUAAAUGUCUUCCAUGAACCCAUCUUCAAGCGGCCUGGGAUGGUACAGAAAAUGCCCGGCGCACCAUUUAAUUGCUCGUCUCUGAGUGGAGGGGGGAGGGAAAUUAAAAUGAAAUGUGCACAAUCACAAUGCAGAUUCUUUUUUUUAUCAACUCUCUACCUGUGUUAAAAAGUAGAGGGUUAGCUCUUUAAGAAAUUGUUAUCAACAUUGGCCAAGCCCCACCACACAUAUAAGGCUCUGUCAAUACUUGUUAACCGACAGUGGUAUUUUGGCAGUUGUGUCGGUGUGUUGGAAGUUUUCUCUUAUUCACCAUACUAUUAUUUUGUGAAUUGUGAAAGUUUGCAAAAUGUCUCUUAACCUCUUUUCUUAAUGGUACUGUUUUUUAAGAAUUUUAAUUCAAGGGACAUGAGAUAAGAUUUUGGGCUGGACAAAAAUUCUUGCAUUUUUCAAAGGAGGUCAAAAACCCUAAAGGAAUUGAGCAGAACUCAUGCAUGGUGCAAAAUGGAUUUCACUUGUUAUGUAAAAAUUCUGAUUAUUUUGCUGACAGUGGGCUGUGAUGGGAUUGUGGGAUCUGGAGCAGUGGUUGAUCGCUGUGGAGUCUGCAACGGGAACAAUCGGGAUUGCCAGACAAUCUCUGGGAUCUACACUCGAGCCUCUCUACCUUAUGGAUACAACCUCAUCACUCGCAUUCCAGUUGGAGCCUGCAAUAUAAAUAUAACAGAGCUGGGAGCCAGCAGAAACUACCUAGCCUUCCGUCUUCAGAAUGGAAGUUACGUAAUGAAUGGCAAUAAUCGCCUCAGCAGAGCGGGUGAUUACGAGGCAGCGGGGACUACCUUUACCUACAGGAAGCGAGAGGGGGCGGGGUGUCCAGGGGAGUGUGUCAGGGCCAAGGGUCCAGGUCAAUCAGACGGUAGAUGUACAGUUGCUGUAUUACCGAACAAGCCCUGGCAUCUUGUAUCAGUUUACAAUUCCUAAACACAUGACCAAAGCAGCGAUGGAGGCAAUCAUUCCAAGACUGAAGGUGGGGAACCAAUUUAACCCUGCGGUGGACCAGCCUUUGGCAGACGGCAGCAUGCAAUCCGCCUACGAGACUGGGUACGAAAAUAUUCCUACUGGAGAGGGAAGUUACCCCUUCCCUAAGGACUACAGACCUAGGAUCAUUCCAAACAGGAGGACUUCAGUGCAGUCCCCUCCCCAGUACAUUCCAUAUUCAGGGGUCAAAUCUGAACUCCAGAGUUUGACUUUAAGUGGGCGUGGUCAAUCAAGGAAUCUUACCGAAUCCCAACAAAGACAGUACUCCGCGUACUACAGGACCAUUCAAGCCCAACCAGGCAGUGUCCGGAGAUUACGGCAGAAGAUAUGCGACGCUUUCAUCCGAUACUGCUCGUAACAAUGCGAUCAAUCAGGGCUACCCUGUACAGAAGUAACAAUGUGAUCAAUAAUCGGCCUCCUGUUCUUGCUGCUAGAAACAUCCCAGAUGCAGUCCCGAUAUGAUUGGAGAAUUGUGGGAUUUACGGAAUGUUCUCUUACUUGUGGAAGAGGCGUACAACAGACUAAGAUUGUGUGUUUGGAGAGAGACAGGAAUCUGAUUGUGACGGACGACAACUGUGUUCCCACGACGCGACCCUGCCAGUACAGACGAUCCAGUGUAACAUCAGAAUAUGUCCGCCUGGGUGGGACAUCGGAAAUUGGUCGGAUUGCAGCGUGUCUUGUGGACGUGGCAUGCAGACACGCCCAGUGGUCUGUGCUCAGAGAGUCUCGUCGACUUCCAGGAUCGACGUUCAGCCCAGCAAAUGCCCUAGCCCUCGACCUGAGUCCUCGCGCACUUGCAUGAAUAAACCAUGUGCAGAGUGGAAGGUUGGAGAUUGGCAAAAGUGCUCCAGUGUGUGUGGUAAAGGAGAGAGACGUCGGUUGGUGGUCUGCCACAGUGUGGAUGACAGGAAUGUUACAGAUGACCAGUGUGAGGGCCUCAAGCCGCUGGAUAUCCAGAUCUGUGACAUGGGAUCUUGUGCUCAGGGCUGGUUCCACAGCCCAUGGUCAAGGAAGUGCUUUCCUUCCUGUGGAAGAGGACAUCGCAGUAGACAAGUGUACUGCUCAUCUCCCGACGGAUCUCAGAUAUCGGAGGCCAAGUGCCAGUCCAAGAAACCGAAGCAGAAGAAAGCCUGUCGGAACAAGCGACCCUGUGGAGGCUACUGGUUUGCUGGGCCCUGGUCAGAGUGUUCAUCAACCUGUGGGUCUGGGGUUCAGGAGAGGAGUGUUAUAUGUGUGAAGAAGCUAGACAAGAAGUUGUUUACCAUUGUGGGUAAGGAGAACUGUAGAGGGAGGGAUAAGCCAGAGAUGGAGAGACCCUGCGAACAGCUGCCACCAUGUCAACCUCAGUGGUUCAUGACGCCAUGGACUCAGUGUUCUGCAAGUUGUGGGACAGGCACCAGGACGCGAGAGGUACGCUGUAUGGACCCAGAACUAGCCCCCAGCUCUACCUGCACCGCGAACAAAAAACCUAGUCAACAAAAUAUCUGUAACACUCAGCCCUGCACGGAUGAGAGUGUACAACAAGAUCCCAGCUGUAAAGAUGUGUACAAGUUCUGUAGAUUGGCAGGACCAGCCCGGCUAUGUUCAUACCCAUUCUAUCAAGAAAACUGCUGCUCCUCAUGCCAGACAUAUCAACAUAGAAAAACCAAAGAAAAGCCAUAAUCUGUAUUAGCCCACUGACUAACUACUCAUCAUUUUAUGCUUCUAAAGUACAUGUCUAGGGUAAUCUGUCGGAUUAGUCUCUUUGUAUGCCAGUGUCCAGAAAAACCAGAGCCUGGAAAAUGCACUGAUAUAUAUAAAGGGAGAGAACUGUAACAUAUUUGAAGAGGACUGAUAAUCUCAUGCCUGUAUAUGGAGUGUGGGUCAAAACGAUGUAGUGCCCUGAUGGUAUAGUGACACAGACCGGCUGUGCUGCACCCCCCAGGAAUAAUGGCGGGAAAUAUAGUGCUAUAUCUCUGUGUUAGGUUUGGUAGGUUUUAUAUUUUUUUUUAAAAACAAAGUACUUGGUAUAUUUGUAUACGUAUGGAAGGUCUGACAAUUUGUAAUGGCUUUGUUGUCAAGCUUUUACUAUUUUGUACUAUGGUGUGUUUGACCAGUGUAUGUGUGUGUGAAGACAAUAUAAUUAUAUAAUACUGAUGUGUGGAACUUAUUUAUAUUUUGUACCUUGUUUUUUUCUUCUUUAAGUAUUACUGACUAGAGUUGUUAUAUACAAUUAUAUACUUACUAUUGUUGCAGCAGCUUUGAGUUGUAAAUCCACAAUCAAGUACAUGUAUAUUUAUGAUGAAAACUUUACAUUGUUGUAAUUUGCUAUCCCCCCAGACCAAAGCAUUUUUAUUGAUAAAUAAAUUUAAUGUGAAAAAUAUGU
rnacentral:misc_RNA from 1 species